rnacentral:rRNA from 1 species
CAGUCGCCGCGGGAAUACGGAGGGAGCUAGCGUUAUUCGGAAUUACUGGGCGUAAAGCGCACGUAGGCGGCUUUGUAAGUUAGAGGUGAAAGCCUGGAGCUCAACUCCAGAAUUGCCUUUAAGACUGCAUCGCUUGAAUCCAGGAGAGGUGAGUGGAAUUCCGAGUGUAGAGGUGAAAUUCGUAGAUAUUCGGAAGAACACCAGUGGCGAAGGCGGCUCACUGGACUGGUAUUGACGCUGAGGUGCGAAAGCGUGGGGAGCAAACAGGAUUAGAUACCCCGGUAGUCCCUGUCUCUUAUAU